AUACGGAGGGUGCAAGCGUUAUUCGGAAUCACUGGGCGUAAAGGGCGCGUAGGCGGUUUGAUAAGUCUGAUGUGAAAUCCUAUGGCUCAACCAUAGAACUGCAUUGGAAACUGUCAGACUAGAAUACUGAAGGGGCAGAUGGAAUUAGUGGUGUAGGGGUAAAAUCCGUAGAUAUCACUAGGAAUACCGAAAGCGAAAGCGAUCUGCUGGGAAGUUAUUGACGCUGAGGCACGAAAGCGUGGGGAGCAAACAGGAUUAGAAACCCGAGUAGUCC
rnacentral:rRNA from 1 species